rnacentral:rRNA from 1 species
UACAGAGGGUGCAAGCGUUGUUCGGAAUUAUUGGGCGUAAAGCGCGUGUAGGCGGCUUUGCAAGUCGGGUGUGAAAGCCCUCGGCUCAACCGAGGAAGUGCGCCCGAAACUGCAGAGCUUGAGUGCCGGAGAGGAUGGCGGAAUUCCCCAAGUAGAGGUGAAAUUCGUAGAUAUGGGGAGGAACACCGGUGGCGAAGGCGGCCAUCUGGACGGUGACUGACGCUGAGACGCGAAAAGCGUGGGGAGCAAACAGG